rnacentral:misc_RNA from 1 species
GCCUCGCAGCAGCACCGGCAGCGCCAAGGUGCGCCUUUCACACAUUGCCGUUCCUUCAUUUUUCCUGACGCUCUUCCCUCUCUUUUCUUUCUGAACGUCGCACUCGCCGCUGCGUGUCCGCACACACGCAGGGGACGAAAAGAGAAGCCACAACAUCAAAGAAACAGGAGAGAGAGACCUGGGCCGUUGCGCCGCCACCUUGCGAAUCCCUUUCCCCAUUCGAAAGAACGGCACCUUAACCUCUCUACCUCUCAUGCCCGUGUCUUCCCUGAUUCCGAAGCUGCCAAGCGGGCAGCAAAUGAUUGACGGUCGCCUACCGGCCGCCGUGCAGGAGCAGCUGCGCGCUGUGGCUUUGCAGGUGUUGCAGCGCCUCUUCGUGCCCAUCUUGUGUCGAUACCGCCUUCGCAAGGCUCGGCUUUCGCUCAAGCACCGGCUCCUGCUGAGCCACACGACCUGGGAGGAAGUGGAGGAGGCUGCAUUCAGCGCGCUGGAGCACACAUCUUACCUUGGGGCGGUGACGCGCGACUUGUACACCAUCGCUGAUGGCGGCCGCUCUGCCACGCUUGGCGGCGCGACUGAGGCGCAGUCAGCUGCCAUGGCGGCUUCGCCGGUGGACGCGGCAACAGGGGCGCAGAUACGCGAUAAGGUGCGCGACAUACUCAACUCCAGCUACGUUCAGGUCGCGGUGCAUCUUCAGAAGGAGGUUCUGGAGUGGGAGUGGGAGCCGGCCAGUGAGGUGCUGGUGCUGGUCGGCGGCUCCCUCGAGCGGCAUGGCACCGCCGUGACAAUGGCAAAGGUGACCGCCUCAACGGUCGGCGGCUUCAACGUUGGCACUGCCGCGUCGCUGGUAGGCAGCCGGCGCGCCUCCGCGGUGGCCGGCUAUGGAUUCUCGCGGAAAAGCAGCGUUGUCACUGGUGACACCGGCCGACCUGGAACGGCGCGACGGGCGUCUGCUGCAAUGCUCCGCAACACAAGCAGCCAUGGUGGCACCGCCGGCAGCGGUAUCGCGCUUCCACCGACGUCAGUCAUUUCAUCUCGUUCACUGACCGACUUUGGGCAAGAGCGCGCGGCCAGCGCAUCAGGUAUGGACGGUGCCGCAGGUGCGCCAGCGAUGUCGAGCAGCAGCGUGUUGCAGGCUCAUCCCUCCGCACCGGCCCCCGCCGAGGCGGACACGGAGUUUCUAACAGCGCCGCAGGUGCUUGGUGAGCUGGCUUGCGUUGGUGGCUUUCCUUACUGCGCCGCCCUCUCUGUGUCCUCACCGAUGGCGGUCAUUGUCCGGAUCCCAAAGGUGGUGUACUGCCACAUGGUGAGCGAGUGCGCGACGUCAGUCGGGCAGCGACGCCUGCUCGUCGAGGCCCUGCAGAUGCGCGAAAGGCUGCUGCCCUACUUUGCACCUCUAACCCUGGCCCGGCUGCGGAUAUGCCCACUGCUGACGCGGCUGCGCACGGAGCAGCUGGAGCACAUCCGCGACCUGAUCAUACCACGAGUCUACGCCGCCGGCAUGGAGUGUGGCGAGGAGGAGAAGCCGACGCACAUCUUUUUUAUCCGGCGCGGCGUGGUGCAGAUGCAGCGCGAGGCAACCGUGCCAGGAAAUGACGGCGGCUCGCACAUCAACUCGGAGCCAGCUUCUCCGCAUGCAGAGGCCCUGGCGGCGGCACCGCACACGAACUUUUCCCUAGAGCUUCCGAGGAAUCGCUCGCUGCUUGUGGAGGGGCACACCUACGGGGAGACGAGCUGCAUCUUCGGCGACUCCGUAGGCGACCGCUACACCGCUGUCACGCACGUUGACAUGUACCUUCUCCCCUUUCGGGUUCUCAUUCAGCUGAUGAAGCAGGAGCCGGACGUGCACGGCCCCAUCUACCACAGUGCCCAGGAGCUUUCGUACAUGCGCGACAAGGAGUGGACCGGCGCCCUGUUCGGCCCCCGUCUCGUCGGUGCGAACCUGCCCGGGGUGCACGGCGUGGUGCCCGCUGAAGGGAUGUUGGCCCUGCUGGCGGCCGGCGCGCACAGGGGAGUCGGUGAUGGCGGCACUAGCGUCUGUAGAGGAAAGGGCCCGGCGGAGGCCAGCUUCAGCUCUUUCCACCCGCCAAGUGGCAGCGCGCUUCGUGGAGGCGGUGGCGGCCACCGCAGUCCGACAAUGUCGCGGCGCGUCACCAUCUUUGAAGAGGCAUCCAACCCGGGCGGCGCGGGAGACCGCGCUGGCGGGGGUGUAGAGAGCGCCGGUGUCUUGCCACUGACGGGCGGUCGUGUGUCUUCAGCGCUACUGAGCGCGAUGGAGCACCUUCCGCUCGUCAGCUUGCUUCCGGGUGCCACGAGCGACUUCCACCACGCGUGCAUUCAGCAGUGGCAGUGUGUUCGGUACAACAAGGGUGACGUCAUCGUCACCAGCGGGGAGGAGUGCAAUCGCCUUCUCUUAUUCUUCGAAGGCCGCGCCGGUAUCGUCAUGGACGCGGCUCUGCUGCAUGAGGAGCUGCGACCUGGGGCGGCGCUCGGCAGCGCAGGCAUCGCCAGUGCAUCACCGGCGGCGGCCUGCCCGAUUCCCUCUGGCCACAUUGUCGGGUACACGUGUGUGCGACGGCAUCGCUGGACCCGCAGCAUCAUUGCACUUGACGACGUUGUCGAGGUGUGGGAGCUGCGUCGAAACACCUUCGUGCAGCUGCUGCGCACCCAUGGUAUCGUGCACGACAUGCAGGCGGCGACGCUACAGGUGCUGCAGCCGCUCGCAGCGCAGGAGCGGCUGAAGGUGCUUGACUACCAACCGCUUCUCCAUCCAAUGCCUAGCUCGCUGUGGAAGGAACAGGCAGUGCCCAACGUGCACCCCGUCGUUGUGGCGAACGAGGAGACUGUGCUAUUCCCGGUGUGGCGCGAGGGCGACUUUCCGCUUGAUCGCCGCCAGUCCAUGAUGGAGGCAACCGCGCGCGCCGGCAGCGCUGGGGGCCGCCGAGCGACCUUGUCGUCAGUGAAUUCGAUGAAGGCGACUGCUGUGGCCAACGACCUGCACCGCAGUGCCACACGACUAGAGGACUCCGCUCAUCUGCUUAGUCACCGCCCCACCAGCGUGACAGGGGCGCUCGAGACGGGAAGCAUCAGCCGAGGCGAUUUCACAGCGCAGUGGGCAGAUGCCGCGUAAACGGGCUCGCCUCUCGCUGCGCGUUUGCCAGAGCGUAUGCGCUUCGCUGUGCCGGCUGACGUUGACGCCACCGCAGCACCCUCUCUCUUUCUCCCCCUGUCUGUGCGUGUGUCGUCUGUUGUCUGCUGUCUUUUCUUCCCCGCCCUCUGCGUGCGCGUGUGCGUGCUCGUGCACCUUAGGAUCAUUCGCCCUACCCCCACCCACAUGGCUCCUUCUUGUUUCGCUUGCUCGCUUUGACUUGGCCGGCACGGCGCUUGCGUCCAUGUGUGGCGCGCCGUGCUGCACCCCGCGGAGACUCAUCGCCCCUUCCCCACGUCUUUGCCACUGACCUCUCUUUGGCAUUUUCUUUCUUCCCUUGAUGUACCCCUGAUGACCGGGGUGCAAGGGGCACCUCAGCGUGUGGCAUCUCAGGGUCCAGUGCGUCCCACUCCCUCUGUCUUGGGAAGCUAAGCCGCCGCCCUAUCCCUGCCACAUGCCGAACCCCACUUCUGGUGAUGCCGGGAUCACGCAUCCACGGGGCAAGGAGCUGAGAGCAACGCACUCCUACGAACGUCGGGGGCCAGGUUCUGGAGGGCGUCUCGCCAGGGUGACCAGCGACCGCAAGCACGCUUGUGCCAUCCGUAUAAUGGGGAAAGGGCCCGCCUAACUGGGAGGUAUCUCACUCCCGACCCUCGCACUGCCUGCUGGUGUGCGAGGAGCCUGCGCCGCCCCGAGGAACGUGCCAGGUAGCCCAGUUGCACGAUGGGAGCGGCUGUGAGGCGACCUGCGGAGCGGCGUGGGUGUGUGGGCAGCGUUUGAGGCAGAGACCGUUCUCCGAUGACUGAGUCGGCGCAUUGUUGCAACGCCGGUGCCUAGCGCUGCUGCGCACCAUGCGAUGGGGGCCUAUGACAGGGCCGGGGCGUGGGGGGGAGGGAAGGUCGAGUGGCAUCGGGCUUGACGUUGUGUGCCAGAGAGAAAGCGGACACACGUUGGGAGACGAACCCAAACCCGCGUUGGAGUCUCAUAGAUGUACCAAGAUGUGGACUUGAUUCCCUUUUAUUUGUAAACGUAUGCAGACCUGCUCUCGCACUCGUCUCGGUGCCUUGGUACUCUACCCACAGCGUCAUGGCGCUUUUGGCGGUAGAAAGUGUCGGGUCUCCUGGUCCAUGCUGGCAUACACAGAUGCGCGUGUGUGCGUAUGUAUGUGUGCGUGCAAGGAGGAGAGGGGGAGUGGGGCCACGGACAACGGGACAGACCCCGGCAAGAAGCCAAUUCGGCUACUGAGAGACAUGAGGAAUAUUGUUUGGGCUUGUAAAAGGUCGUCUGCAUCCUGCUUUGCUUCUCCGUGUCUCUCUCUCGCUGUCGCCACCGCCCCGCUCGCCGUCUCGAGUGUGGCGUGUGGGCCGUCAUGGUGCGCACGAAAGAGGAGAAAAGAUGCUGCAGGCACGCGCUGUGCACGUGAAUUGCGUCGUCGUUGUCACGCUGUGCAGCGCGACAAAACUCUUUCUUCGCUGCGCGUGCAUCGUCG